rnacentral:rRNA from 1 species
GACGAACGCUGGCGGCGUGCUUAACACAUGCAAGUCGAACGAAGUGGCGAACGCGUGAGUAAUACGUGGGUAACCUGCCCUCCUUUAUGGGAUAAACCUUGGAAACGGGUUCUAAUACCGAAUAAAGGAUGAUGGGCGCGCGGCCUAUCGGCUUGGUGGUGGGGUGAUGGCCUACCAAGGCGGUGACGGGUUGCCGGCCUGAGAGGGUAAACGGCCACAUAGGGACGGGGCAACGGCCCAGAGUACGACGGGGUGCGGUAGUGGGGGAUAUUGCACAAUGGGCGAAAGACUGAUGCAGCGACGACGCGUGAGGGAUGAAGGCUUUCGAGUUGUAAACCUCUUUCGCAAUCGAACGGGUAGGUGGAGAAGAAGCGCCGGCUAACUACGUGCCAGCAGCCGCGGUAAUAC